rnacentral:lncRNA from 1 species
GUCACCUUGGGGGUGGGCUUUGAGGUAUCCUAUGCUUAAGCUACAACCAAUGAGACAGUUCAUUUCCUGUUUCCUGCCCAUCAAGAUGUAGAACUCUCAGAUCCAGCACUGUGUCUGCCUGUAUUCCACCAUGUCCCACCAUGAUGAUAAUGGACUAAACCUCUGAAAGUUGUCCUGAGUACCUUCCAUGGCAGCCAGUCAGCAUUUUAAGGAGCCCCCUCUGGCAACUGCAAACCUCAGGGCUUGUCUGCGGUUCACUGCCUGUGUUGAAAGAGGAAAAGUUACUGCCCUCGUCCAGACAGUGACUUUGAAGAAGAAGCGAGGCAUUGUGUGUGUGAUUCAGCCCAGUGUGUGCUUGCCUUCCACAGUCAGACUUUCUUAUCACAUCAUCUGAGAUCACCAAAGACCUUGGAAAAUUUGAACCAGCUCCUACAUGCCUCUUGUACUGUAGCUGAUGAGCAAAACCCUUGAAUCUGUUAUCUCAGUGAAUAUCAUUUGAAUACCCCUGCCCUGUCAAGGAAUUUCUGCUACGCGGUACAAGGACCUGAUUGGUUCCAGGGAAACUGUCAUUUGGGGCCACAGAAUCCACUUGCUGUACUUCUACUUUUCUCCAAAUGUUCAGGCAGCAGGGCACCAGUGGGUUUUAAUUCUCCAGCGCCCCACGCAGACAAGGGGCAGAAUCUCAUUGUGUCUCUCAGAUGGCAAAUAGCAGCGGACCCACCCACACCCAAGGAUCCUUGGAGGUCAAUGGAGAAGCUGAGCACUUUUCUGAACUAUCACACUGUCACCAAACUCUCUCUGCUCCUGUCUCUUGUUAAGGUUCCCUGGACAGCACAAGGUUCAAAAGUCUCAGGGUCCUCUUCUGCAGUCUCAAUUGCCUAAGCACUUCUACGAUGGCUCUUCCUUUUAGAUGUUCUGCUCAUAUCUUCUUCUCAGAGCCUUCAUCCAGCAGCUGAUGGAAGCAGAAGCAGAUACCCACAGCUAAAAACUGAACUGAACUUGAAUCCAGUUGCAGAGAAGGAGGAUUGUGAGCAAAGGGGUCAAGAUCACGCUAGUGAAACCCACAGAAAUAGCUGACCUGAACAAGAGGGAGCCCUUGGGCCCCAGACUGAUCACUGGGAAACCAGCAUGGAACUGAUCCAGACCCCAUAAAUGUGGGUAUCAGUGAGGAGGCCUCAGAAAUAUAUGGGGCCUCUUGUAGUAGAUCAGUACUUAUCCC